rnacentral:rRNA from 1 species
AGAGCAUACGGUGGAUGCCUUGGCAUCGGGAGCCGAAGAAGGGCGUUGUAGCCUGCGAUAAGCCUCGGGGAGUUGGCAAACGAGCGUUGAUCCGAGGAUGCCCGAAUGGGGGAACCCACUCAUAGUCAUGUAUGAGUACCCUUAUCUGAAUAAAAUAGGAUAAGUGGGGGGAACGCCGGGAAGUGAAACAUCUCAGUACCGGCAGGAAGAGAUAUUCCGUGAGUAGUGGCGAGCGAAAGCGGAUGAGGCCAAACCUGUGUUGUGUGAUACCUGUCAGGGGUUGCAGCAUGGGGGUUGUGGGACCUUAUUGAAAACACUGACAUGUUUUCGACCAGUCAUAAAAUUUUGGUAUAGCUGAAUCGCAUUGAAUGGCGAACCGUAGGUGGUGCUAGUCCUGUAAGUGAAAUGCUGAAGUCUGGUUUAGGGGAUCCCAAGUAGCACGGGACUCGUGAAAUCUCGUGUGAAUCUGUACAGACCACUGUAUAAGCCUAAAUACUACCCGAUGACCGAUAGCGGACAAGUACCGUGAGGGAAAGGUGAAAAGUACCCCGGGAGGGGAGUGAAAUAGUACCUGAAACCGUGUGCUUACAAUCCGUCAGAGCCUCUCUAAUUGGGGUGAUGGCGUGCCUUUUGAAGAAUGAGCCUGCGAGUUAGUGCUCGGUGGCGAGGUUAACCCGGGUGGGGUAGCCGUAGCGAAAGCGAGUCCGAAUAGGGCGUUUUUAGUCGCCGGGUCUAGACCCGAAGCGAAGUGAUCUAGCCAUGGGCAGGUUGAAGCGACGGUAAGACGUCGUGGAGGACCGAACCCACUUGGGUUGAAAACCGAGGGGAUGACCUGUGGUUAGGGGUGAAAGGCCAAUCAAACUUCGUGAUAGCUGGUUCUCCCCGAAAUGCAUUUAGGUGCAGCGUUGUGUGUUUCUUGCCGGAGGUAGAGCUACUGGAUAGCCGAUGGGCCCUACCAGGUUACUGACGUUAGCCAAACUCCGAAUGCCGGUAAGUUAUAGCAUGGCAGUGAGACUGCGGGGGAUAAGCUUCGUAGUCGAGAGGGAAACAGCCCAGAACAUCAGCUAAGGCCCCUAAGCGUGUGCUCAGUGGGAAAGGAUGUGGAGUUGCCCAGACAACCAGGAGGUUGGCUUAGAAGCAGCCACCCUUGAAAGAGUGCGUAAUAGCUCACUGGUCAAGUGAUUCCGCGCCGACAAUGUAGCGGGGCUCAAGCACACCGCCGAAGCUGUGUCAAUCCAACAGAUAGCGUUAACACGUGUUGGGUUGGGUAGGGGAGCGUCGUGUGCCGCGUGAAGCUGCGGAGUAAUCCAGUGGUGGACGGUACACGAGUGAGAAUGCAGGCAUGAGUAGCGAAUGAAGAGUGAGAAACUCUUCCGCCGAAUGACCAAGGGUUCCAGGGCCAGGUUAAUCCGCCCUGGGUAAGUCGGGACCUAAGGCGAGGCCGACAGGCGUAGUCGAUGGACAAGGAGUUGAUAUUCUCCUACCGGCGAAAAACCGUCCAUACCGAAUCUUUUGAUGCUAACCAUCCCAAAACCUCUAGUUUUUCACCUUCGGGUGUCUGACGUUUGGUGGCGGCGUGGGAUCCGAUUUAGUAGUAGGUAAACGUAUUAACAGGAGUGACGCAGGAACGUAGCUGAGCACGGCGAUGGUUGUCCGUGUGUAAGCCUGUAGCCCGAUCUGUAGGCAAAUCCGCAGGUCUUGUGGGGUGAGAGGUGAUGCGUACCCCGUUUGGGGGAAUUCAGUGAUCGUCUGCUGCCAAGAAAAGCUUCGACGUGAGGUUUUAGCCGCCCGUACCCUAAACCGACUCAGGUGGUCAGGUAGAGAAUACUAAGGCGAUCGAGAUAAUCGUGGUUAAGGAACUCGGCAAAAUGCCCCCGUAACUUCGGGAGAAGGGGGGCCUGAAACGUGAACCAACUUGCUUGGGGCAGCGUGGAGGGCCGCAGAGACCAGGGGGAAGCGACUGUUUACUAAAAACACAGGUCCGUGCGAAGUCGCAAGACGAUGUAUACGGACUGACGCCUGCCCGGUGCUGGAAGGUUAAGAGGACGAGUCAGGGUAACCGAAGCUCAGAAUUUAAGCCCCAGUAAACGGCGGUGGUAACUAUAACCAUCCUAAGGUAGCGAAAUUCCUUGUCGGGUAAGUUCCGACCUGCACGAAUGGCGUAACGACUUCCCUACUGUCUCAACCGCGAACUCGGCGAAAUUGCAUUACGAGUAAAGAUGCUCGUUACGCGCAGCAGGACGGAAAGACCCCGGGACCUUUACUAUAGCUUGGUAUUGGUGUUCGGUAUGAUUUGUGUAGGAUAGGUGGGAGACUUUGAAGCCAAGCCGCCAGGUUUGGUGGAGUCAUCGUUGAAAUACCACUCUGAUCAUAACGGAUGUCUAACCUCGGACCGUGAUCCGGUUCAGGGACAGUGCCUGGUGGGUAGUUUAACUGGGGCGGUUGCCUCCCAAAAUGUAACGGAGGCGCUCAAAGGUUCUCUCAGCCUGGUUGGCAAUCAGGUGUUGAGUGUAAGUGCACAAGAGAGCUUGACUGUGAGACCGACAGGUCGAGCAGGUACGAAAGUAGGAACUAGUGAUCCUGUGGUGGCUUGUGGAAGCGCCAUGGCUCAACGGAUAAAAGGUACCCCGGGGAUAACAGGCUGAUCUUGCCCAAGAGUCCAUAUCGACGGCAUGGUUUGGCACCUCGAUGUCGGCUCGUCGCAUCCUGGGGCUGGAGUAGGUCCCAAGGGUUGGGCUGUUCGCCCAUUAAAGCGGUACGCGAGCUGGGUUUAGAACGUCGUGAGACAGUUCGGUCCCUAUCCGCUGCGCGCGUAGGAAACUUGAGAAGACCUGUCCCUAGUACGAGAGGACCGGGACGGACUAACCUCUGGUAUGCCAGUUGUUCUGCCAAGAGCACGGCUGGUUAGCUACGUUGGGGAGGGAUAACCGCUGAAAGCAUCUAAGCGGGAAGCCUGCUUCAAGAUUAGGUUUCCAGGGAAUACGUUCCCGAAGGCGCCCUAUAGACUAUGGGGUUGAUAGGCUAGAAGUGGAAGCAUGGUAACAUGUGCAGCUGACUAGUACUAAUCCGCCAACAACGUAACAC